AUUGAACGCUGGCGGCAGGCCUAACACAUGCAAGUCGAGCGGUAGCACAGAGAGCUUGCUCUCGGGUGACGAGCGGCGGACGGGUGAGUAAUGUCUGGGAAACUGCCUGAUGGAGGGGGAUAACUACUGGAAACGGUAGCUAAUACCGCAUAACGUCGCAAGACCAAAGUGGGGGACCUUCGGGCCUCAUGCCAUCAGAUGUGCCCAGAUGGGAUUAGCUAGUAGGUGGGGUAACGGCUCACCUAGGCGACGAUCCCUAGCUGGUCUGAGAGGAUGACCAGCCACACUGGAACUGAGACACGGUCCAGACUCCUACGGGAGGCAGCAGUGGGGAAUAUUGCACAAUGGGCGCAAGCCUGAUGCAGCCAUGCCGCGUGUGUGAAGAAGGCCUUCGGGUUGUAAAGCACUUUCAGCGGGGAGGAAGGCGUUAAGGUUAAUAACCUUAGCGAUUGACGUUACCCGCAGAAGAAGCACCGGCUAACUCCGUGCCAGCAGCCGCCGUAAUAC
rnacentral:rRNA from 1 species